GACGAGGUGGCCGAGCGGUCUAAGGCGCUAGAUUCAGGGCUAACCGGUUCUGUCCGGUGGUGAGUCUUCUAGUCCGAAAGGGCGUGGGUUCAAAUCCCAUCCUCGUCA
rfam:Gonium pectorale scaffold00004, whole genome shotgun sequence.